rnacentral:rRNA from 1 species
GAUGAACGCUGGCGGCGUGCCUAAUACAUGCAAGUCGAGCGAACGGAUGAGAAGCUUGCUCCUCUGACGUUAGCGGCGGACGGGUGAGUAACACGUGGAUAACCUACCUAUAAGACUGGGAUAACUUCGGGAAACCGGAGCUAAUACCGGAUAAUAUUUUGAACCGCAUGGUUCUACAGUGAAAGACGGUCUUGCUGUCACUUAUAGAUGGACCCGCGCUGCAUUAGCUAGUUGGUAAGGUAACGGCUCACCAAGGCAACGAUGCAUAGCCGACCUGAGAGGGUGAUCGGCCACACUGGAACUGAGACACGGUCCAGACUCCUACGGGAGGCAGCAGUAGGGAAUCUUCCGCAAUGGGCGAAAGCCUGACGGAGCAACGCCGCGUGAGUGAUGAAGGUCUUCGGAUCGUAAAACUCUGUUAUUAGGGAAGAACAUAUGUGUAAGUAACUGUGCGCGUCUUGACGGUACCUAAUCAGAAAGCCACGGCUAACUACGUG